GACCAGGUGGCUCAGUUGGUUGGAGCAUUGUCCUAUACACCCAAGAGGUUUUGGGUUCGAUUCCCAAUCAGGGCA
rnacentral:tRNA from 1 species